rnacentral:rRNA from 1 species
UACAGAGGUCCCAAGCGUUGUUCGGAUUCAUUGGGCGUAAAGGGUGCGUAGGCGGCGCGGUAAGUCGGGUGUGAAAUCUCGGAGCUUAACUCCGAAACUGCAUUCGAUACUGCCGUGCUUGAGGACUGGAGAGGAGACUGGAAUUUACGGUGUAGCGGUGAAAUGCGCAGAUAUCAGGAGGAACACCGGUGGCGAAGGCGGGUCUCUGGGCCGAAAUUGACGCUGAGGAGCGAAAGCGUGGGGAGCAAACAGG